ACGGGUGCGGAACACGUACGCAACCUUCCUUUAAGUGAGGGAUAGCUUUCGGAAACGAAAAUUAAUACCUCGUAAGAUUGUGGGAUGGCAUCAUUCUACAAUUAUAGCUCCGGCGCUUAAAGAUGGGCGUGCGCCUGAUUAGGUAGUUGGCGGAGUAACAGCCCACCAAGCCUACGAUCAGUAACUGGUGUGAGAGCACGACCAGUCACACGGGCACUGAGACACGGGCCCGACUCCUACGGGAGGCAGCAGUAAGGAAUAUUGGUCAAUGGACGCAAGUCUGAACCAGCCAUGCCGCGUGGAGGAUGAAGGUCCUCUGGAUUGUAAACUUCUUUUAUCGGAGAAGAAACCCGACCUUUCUAGGGCGGUUGACGGUACCCGAUGAAUAAGCACCGGCUAACUCCGUGCCAGCAGCCGCGGUAAUACGGAGGGUGCAAGCGUUAUCCGGAUUCACUGGGUUUAAAGGGUGCGUAGGUGGGAUGGUAAGUCAGUGGUGAAAUCUCCAAGCUUAACUUGGAAACUGCCGUUGAUACUAUCAUUCUUGAAUCUCGUGGAGGUAAGCGGAAUAUGUCAUGUAGCGG
rnacentral:rRNA from 1 species